rnacentral:rRNA from 1 species
GACUAACGCUGGCGGCGUGCCUAACACAUGCAAGUCGAACGGUGCAGCAAUGCACAGUGGCAGACGGGUGAGUAACGCGUAGAUAACGUGCCCUCUUGCGGGGGAUACCGGGGUGAAAACCCCGUUAAUACCGCAUAACUUCCUCUUUUGGCAUCUUAAGGGGAACAAACUGAUUCAGGGCGAGAGGAGCGGUCUGCGUACUAUCAGGUAGUUGGUGAGGUAACGGCUCACCAAGCCUACGACGGUUAACUGGUCUGAGAGGAUGAUCAGUCACACUGGAACUGAGACACGGUCCAGACUCCUACGGGAGGCAGCAGUGAGGAAUAUUGCGC